CUUUCUUUUCUGCUCAGACCACUUCAAUUGAGUUGUCACAAUUCUUUGAUGGCAUGGAUGAUGAUGGAAAUCCUCGAAACAGUGGGGGAUUCAAUGUGAACCGUGGAAAUGGCCGAAAGCCAUCACUAGGUAACCAGAACAUUCCUCUCCAGAAGAAGCAGUCUGCUGAUUGCUUCAAUGCUUCUCCCAAAGAGAACAAGGGUGAACAACAAAAGAAACAGGAAGCUGUAAUCAAGAAACAAACAACAGUUGCCAAACCAACUAAGCCAUCUGGAG
rnacentral:misc_RNA from 1 species